rnacentral:rRNA from 1 species
UGGCAAGUCUUCCAGUAUGGGGAGCAAAACAGCUAUGGGUCAAGUCCGAUAUCUUUAGGAGAAGUCUUAUUGUGAGGGCGAGUUAUAUAACACCAUAGGACUGGCCGUCCCAUAUGAAAAGAUUAUAUUAGAAUUGAAUGAAGCUUUGUUUAUAUAUUGAUAAUGACAGUAUAUAUAUCGUGUCUUGACUAAUUGCGUGCCAGCAGUCGCGGUAAUACGUAAGAGACUAGUGUUAUUCAUCUUAAUUAGGUUUAAAGGGUACCCAGACGGUCAAUAUAGCUUAUAAAAUGUUAGUACUUGACUAGAGUUUUAUGUAAGAGGGCAGUACUUGAGGAGGAGAGAUGAAAUUUCGUGAUACCAAAGGGACUCUGUAAAGGCGAAGGCAGCCCUCUAUGUAAAAACUGACGUUGAAGGACGAAGGCACAGAGAACAAACAGGAUUAGAUACCCAAGUAGUCUUUGCAGUAAAUGAUGAAUGCCAUAGGU